CAGCCGUAAACAAUGUGCGUUAGGUGUGUCGGUAACCACGCGUUACUGAUGCGCCGAAGAGAAAUCGUGAAACGCACCACCUGGGAAGUACGGUAACGCAAGGCUGAAACUUAAAGGAAUUGGCGGGGGGAGCACCACAACAGGUGGAGCCUGCGGUUUAAUUGGAUUCAACGCCGGACAUCUCACCGGAUAAGACAGCUGAAUGAUUGUCAAUCUGAAGGUUUUACAUGACUAGCUGAGAGGUGGUGCAUGGCGUCAGUGACU
rnacentral:rRNA from 1 species